GCAAUGCAGCUCUUGAAGGCACGGUGUAUGCUAUACCAUAUUUCUAUGAAGGCUACUUCAUCUGCACUAAAGGGGAAUCUCUCUAUAGAUCUUGUUCAGAAGGCUAUGCCUACGGCUCAAGUAUAUGUAAAUACAGUAGCAAAAAUAACUAUGCUGUAGGUUCAACUACCCCAACCUACAAGAAGCUGUCUACUUACGGUCCAAAAUACAGCAAGCCAAGCCAACCAUCGUACACUUCUAAGAAAGACUAUACCACAGCUAAGCCUAAACCUGGUUAUGUCCCUGGCAUUUAUCCCUGCAAUGCAGCCCUUGAAGGUACAGUGUAUCCUAUACCAUAUUUCUCUGAAGGCUACUUUAUCUGUACCAAAGGGGAAUCUCUCUAUAGAUCUUGUUCAGAUGGCUACACCUACGGCUCAAGUAUAUGUAAAACUACGAAGUCUAGUAGCU
rnacentral:sRNA from 1 species